AGGACGAACGCUGGCGGCGUGCUUAACACAUGCAAGUCGAACGAGGUGCUUGCACCUAGUGGCGAACGGGUGAGUAACACGUGAGCAACCUGCCCUUGGCUCUGGGACAGCCUCCGGAAACGGGGAUUAAUACCGGACAUGACCUUGGUCUGCAUGGACUGAGGUGGAAAGUUUUUUCGGCCAGGGAUGGGCUCGCGGCCUAUCAGCUUGUUGGGGGGGUAACGCCCACCAAGGCGACGACGGGUA
rnacentral:rRNA from 1 species